rnacentral:rRNA from 1 species
UACGGAGGGUGCAAGCGUUAUCCGGAUUCACUGGGCUUAAAGGGUGCGUAGGCGGGUUGGUAAGUCAGUGGUGAAAUCUCAGAGCUUAACUCUGAAACUGCCAUUGAUACUAUCUAUCUUGAAUUCUCUGGAGGUGAGCGGAAUAUGUCAUGUAGCGGUGAAAUGCUUAGAUAUGACAUAGAACACCCAUUGCGAAGGCAGCUCACUACGGAACAAUUGACGCUGAGGCACGAAAGCGUGAGGAUCAAACAGG